GAUUUACGAAUCGACACUUAGACGUAAAUCUGUUUCUUCGUACGAACGUCGGAUUUCAGUUUGCGCCGAUAUUCUGGUUUUCAUCAUUGCUGCAAACUGCCUGCAUAGAUUGACUGUAACCUUGCUUAGUAUCAACUCUCAUACAGAGUUGUCUUUAUCGUUCAAACGCAGCUUUCGGUUUUAAUCGCAGAAAGUUUUCCACUGCACUAAUUCACCCCCCC
rnacentral:lncRNA from 1 species